rnacentral:tRNA from 2 species
GCCGUUGUAGCUCAGUGGUAGAGCACUGGUCUCGUAAACCAGGGGUCGUGAGUUCGAACCUCACCAGCGGCU